CCGACCCGUAUCCAUAUCUAUACCCAAAAAGCCUUAGGUUCUCUCUCUUCAUCCCUAGUUUUUUCAUCUGUCAGUAGGCAUGCCGCAGGGAGAUUAUAUAGAGUUACACAGGAAGAGAUUUGGUCGUCGCCAUGAUCACGAGGAGCGUAAACGUAAGAGGGAGGCUCGUGAGGUUAAGGAGCGCUCCCAAAAAGCUCAAAAGACGUUGGGUAUUAAGGGUAAAAUGCUUGCUAAGAAGCGGUAUGCUGAAAAGGCCCAAAUGAAGAAAACGUAAGUUCUUCUUAAUUGUGUAAUUACCAUUUUACUAUUUACUGUGAUUGUGUG